rnacentral:rRNA from 1 species
GACGAACGCUGGCGGCGUGCUUAACACAUGCAAGUCGAACGGUGAAGCGCCUUCCUUUUUGGUGGGUGUGGAUGAGUGGCGAACGGGUGAGUAACACGUGAGUAACCUGCCCCCUUCUUCUGGAUAACCGCAUGAAAGUGUGGCUAAUACGGGAUAUUCUGGGUCUGUCGCAUGAUGGGUCUGGGAAAGAGAUUGUUUCGGUGGGGGAUGGGCUCGCGGCCUAUCAGCUUGUUGGGGGGGUGAUGGCCUACCAAGGCGGUGACGGGUAGCCGGCCUGAGAGGGUGGACGGUCACACUGGGACUGAGACACGGCCCAGACUCCUACGGGAGGCAGCAGUGGGGAAUAUUGCACAAUGGGCGCAAGCCUGAUGCAGCGACGCCGCGUGAGGGAUGGAGGCCUUCGGGUGGUGAACCUCUUUCGCCAGUGAAGCAGGCCUGCCUCGUUUGUGGGUGGGUUGACGGUAGCUGGAUAAGAAGCGCCGGCUAACUACGU